rnacentral:rRNA from 1 species
GUUGAAUUCUGCAGAGACUGCCAGACUAGGGACCGGGAGAGGUAUGGGGUACUCUCGGGGUAGGGGUAAAAUCCUGUCAUCCUGGGAGGACCACCAGUUGCGAAGGCGCCACACUGGAACGGAUCCGACGGUCAGGGACGAAGCCUAGGGGCACGAACCGGAUUAGAUACCCGGGUAGUCCUAGGAGUAAACGCUGUGAACUUGGUGUCGGGGAUCCUACUUGGGUUCCCGGUGCCGGAGUGAAGAUGUUAAGUUCACUGCCUGGGGAGUACGUUCGCAAGGCUGAAACUCAAAGGAAUUGACGG